GAGUGCUGGAGCGAAUAGAAGUGAGCAUGCAGGCAUGAGUAGCGAUAAUUAAUGUGAGAAUCAUUAACGCCGUAAACCCAAGGUUUCCUACGCGAUGCUCGUCAUCGUAGGGUUAGUCGGGUCCUAAGUCGAGUCCGAAAGGGGUAGACGAUGGCAAAUUGGUUAAUAUUCCAAUACCAACAUUAGUGUGCGAUGGAAGGACGCUUAGGGCUAAGGGGGCUAGCGGAUGGAAGUGCUAGUCUAAGGUCGUAGGAGGUUGUACAGGCAAAUCCGUAUAACAAUACUCCGAGAACUGAAAGGCUUUUUGAAGUCUUCGGAUGGAUAGAAGAACCCCUGAUGCCGUCGAGCCAAGAAAAGUUUCUAAGUUUAGCUAAUGUUGCCCGUACCGUAAACCGACACAGGUGGGUGGGAUGAGUAUUCUAAGGCGCGUGGAAGAACUCUCUUUAAGGAACUCUGCAAAAUAGCACCGUAUCUUCGGUAUAAGGUGUGGUUAGCUUUGUAUUAGGAUUUACUCCGAAAGCAAGGAAACUUACAACAAAGAGUCCCUCCCGACUGUUUACCAAAAACACAGCACUCUGCUAACUCGUAAGAGGAUGUAUAGGGUGUGACGCCUGCCCGGUGCUCGAAGGUUAAUUGAUGGGGUUAGCAUUAGCGAAGCUCUUGAUCGAAGCCCGAGUAAACGGCGGCCGUAACUAUAACGGUCCUAAGGUAGCGAAAUUCCUUGUCGGUUAAAUACCGACCUGCAUGAAUGGCGUAACGAGAUGGGAGCUGUCUCAAAGAGGGAUCCAGUGAAAUUGUAGUGGAGGUGAAAAUUCCUCCUACCCGCGGCAAGACGGAAAGACCCCGUGGACCUUUACUACAGCUUGACACUGCUACUUGGAUAAGAAUGUGCAGGAUAGGUGGGAGGCUUUGAGUAUAUGACGCCAGUUGUAUAUGAGCCAUUGUUGAGAUACCACUCUUUCUUAUUUGGGUAGCUAACCAGCUUGAGUUAUCCUCAAGUGGGACAAUGUCUGGUGGGUAGUUUGACUGGGGCGGUCGCCUCCCAAAUAAUAACGGAGGCUUACAAAGGUUGGCUCAGAACGGUUGGAAAUCGUUCGUAGAGUAUAAAGGUAUAAGCCAGCUUAACUGCAAGACAUACAAGUCAAGCAGAGACGAAAGUCGGUCUUAGUGAUCCGGUGGUUCUGUGUGGAAGGGCCAUCGCUCAAAGGAUAAAAGGUACCCCGGGGAUAACAGGCUGAUCUCCCCCAAGAGCUCACAUCGACGGGGAGGUUUGGCACCUCGAUGUCGGCUCAUCGCAUCCUGGGGCUGGAGCAGGUCCCAAGGGUAUGGCUGUUCGCCAUUUAAAGCGGUACGCGAGCUGGGUUCAGAACGUCGUGAGACAGUUCGGUCCCUAUCUGCCGUGGGCGUAAGAAGAUUGAAGAGAUUUGACCCUAGUACGAGAGGACCGGGUUGAACAAACCACUGGUGUAGCUGUUGUUCUGCCAAGAGCAUCGCAGCGUAGCUAAGUUUGGAAAGGAUAAACGCUGAAAGCAUCUAAGCGUGAAGCCAACUCUAAGAUGAAUCUUCUCUAAGCUCUCUAGAAGACUACUAGUUUGAUAGGCUGGGUGUGUAAUGGAUGAAAGUCCUUUAGCUGACCAGUACUAAUAGAGCGUUUGGCUUAUCUUUAAUAAAGCAU
rnacentral:rRNA from 1 species